AGUCUCCACUAGCCUUAACAUCCCCACCUACUAUUUCCUCCCCAGUUCUGCCAGUGGCCUUGCUGCUUUUCUUUACUUGCCUACCAUUCAUAACACCACUACAAAGAGUUUGAAAGAUCUUGAUUUGCUUAUUGAUGUCCCUGGGCUCCCAUCCUUACCGGCUUAUAACAUGCCAAUGCUCAUGCUCGAUCGAAAUAGCAAAGUUUAUCAAUAUUUCAAAG
rnacentral:misc_RNA from 1 species